GACUGUUCCAGCAGCUGCAUAUUCCUGAAAAGACAAACAAGCUCAGAGUGUCAAAGAAGUGUAUAAUCAUGCACACAUAUGAAGUGGUAACCAAACAAGUUCAAAAUAUAAGAAUAAUUUAAUCACUGUCAACAUUACAAGCUUUAUCAAAAAAGAGGGAAAGGGAGUUUCACUGUCAGGAAAAGAAAAAGGGAAAAAAAGGAAAUAAAAUGAAAGAAUUUUAAAAGAAAAUAAAAAAUAUUAUCCACAAACUCAUCUAGGAAUGGCAACGGAGCGGGUUAGGGGCAGGGAUCACUCCUCCCGUCCCCGCCCCACAAGAGUUUGGGAUCGGGGCAGGGCGGAUUUCCUUGCAGGGAUU
rnacentral:misc_RNA from 1 species